rnacentral:lncRNA from 1 species
AUGGAUGAAGAUCGUUGUGAAGACAGGUAAUUACUACUAUUAUUUCAUGGCUUUUGAUGAAGAAGAAAAGAUUAAAUGUGAAGGUGGACAUCCAACACAUUCUCACUCUCUAAUUCAGUAAACUCAUUUAACAUUUAUGAGAAUGUGAAGGGUUAUAGUGCAUUAUACUUUGUUGUGCCAUCAUAUAAUGCGACUCUAAUCAAUGACAUGUCGAUUGAACGAUUGCGCAAAUUAGGCUGUGAAAACUUUUCAUUUUAUUGUCGAUUGAUAGUGUUUAUAUCACUUACUUUUUGUGACUCUCAAAAAGUACCAACUUUUUGGAUCCAAUCAAAUUUUUAAAGACUUUUUAAAUUCACAAUUGGAUACCAUCAAACUUUUAAAUACUUAUAAAAAUCACAAUUGAAUACCACUAGACUUUUAUAAAUACUUUAAAAAUCUAAAUUCAAUACCUCGAGACUUUUAAACUCAAUAAAAAUCAUUGAAAGUUUGAAUUGAAAAUUGUUAGAAUGUGACUAUAUAACUUAAAAUUUAUUGACAUGAAUGGAAUGGUGGAAGAUCUUUUACAACCCUUAUGAUAUGAUGUACAUUAGGAACAUACAGGGGUCAGUCCCCCAACUUCUUCUUCCGAAAUAUUAUCUUUAUCCCGCCCUUUCGAAACUUGAUCUUUUAGAACUUGGGAGGGCUUUGUCCUAAAUCUAUAGUAUAAGUAUUGUAUUCACCUACUGAGAAACUACAAACUAAGCCAAAAUAAUUAUUGAUCCCAUUGGGAAAAACCAAGAUAUACAAUGCAGUAAGUAAGAAAGGAAAAAGGUAGAGCAGAGCUUACGUUUGCUUCACUGCAAAACUACCAGCAGUCAGGGAUUGGUUGUUUUUAAAAGUUCCAACUGAAAUGGAAGUAAUCUUUCACAACUGGGACAUCUUUCUCUUUAAUGGUCUCUCUGUAAAUUUAUAUUAAAAUUUCUUCACAAAAAAAAAUAACAAUUUGUUCCUUUUUCAUAUGAUUCAGAAAGCUGUCACAAGCACAACGGGAGUCGCUUUUGCCUGGCCAAAAUACGUCAUCUAAACGAUUUCAAUUCUUGUAUCUUGGAAGAGACUUACAAGUAAAACUCAGUAACUACUAAUAAUCCAAAAAUAAAAACUUGAGAAAAAAAAAUUGUAAUCCACAAUUGUCUCAAGGAUAAAAAGAAAUUUUUUUUAAAAAAAACUUGAGUGUCAUAGCCAAAGUGCACUAGACCCGAUCUGCAAAAUGGAAAUUAAAACAAUUUUGGAAACACAGUACGAUGAACAAUUAUGGAAGGAGGCCAACGAACGAAUGCAACUACUUUCCCUUUCCUUCUAUCUUACAUUUCUUGUAAAUAAGAGUUCUAUGUUACAAAUCAAAAUUGUGGCUAGUUUCUCUUAAAUGCUCAAUUAGAAUGAGCUUCUCAGCUCCUAAGCAAAUGAAAACAAAAAUUGCACAAGCUUUUAUAUAUCUAUCUCCCUUUCUACGCAACCCUUCACUUGGUCGCACUUAUGAAAAUUUCCAUUUUGAAUGA